CUAAUGAUCUAAGAAUUUUCUCAAUGACUCUUACAUCGCUUAGAGUUUCACCAUUCCUCUUUAAUUGAUUGACAAUCGCCAUGACUCUUGUAAAAUAAUCGGAAAUUUAUUCAAAGUCUUUCUUAUUUAAGGAUUCGAACUCACCUCGUAGGGUUUGUAGUCGAACCUUUUUCACCUUAUCAACUCCCUUGUGAGAAUUCUCUAAG
rnacentral:lncRNA from 1 species